GAUGAACGCUGGCGGCGUGCUUAACACAUGCAAGUCGAGCGAUGAAGUUUCCUUCGGGAAACGGAUUAGCGGCGGACGGGUGAGUAACACGUGGGUAACCUGCCUCAUAGAGUGGAAUAGCCUUCCGAAAGGAAGAUUAAUACCGCAUAAUGUUGAAAGAUGGCAUCAUCAUUUAACCAAAGGAGCAAUCCGCUAUGAGAUGGACCCGCGGCGCAUUAGCUAGUUGGUGGGGUAACGGCCUACCAAGGCGACGAUGCGUAGCCGACCUGAGAGGGUGAUCGGCCACAUUGGGACUGAGACACGGCCCAGACUCCUACGGGAGGCAGCAGUGGGGAAUAUUGCACAAUGGGGGAAACCCKGAUGCAGCAACGCCGCGUGAGUGAUGAAGGUUUUCGGAUCGUAAAGCUCUGUCUUUGGGGAAGAUAAUGACGGUACCCAAGGAG
rnacentral:rRNA from 1 species